CCUGGAAAAGGAUGACCUCGAAGCCUCCCAUAAACUUACGACUUAUCCAACUCCUCUCCUCUCCGACCUUCUGAAGGAGCAACUUUUAUUUAAUGUCAGCAUGAGCCCUCUCAACCCUGUCGAUAUUUUUUUUUAUGUCAUUCGCUGCUUCCUCUUUCUCUUAUUCUGUUUUUAAGCCGUGCCGAUCUUCUUUCAUUGCAGAUAUGGAUGCAGACGCGGCUCGGAUGCUAGCCAAGGGUCUUAAGGCCCACAAGAGGAAAGGUGC
rnacentral:lncRNA from 1 species